rnacentral:rRNA from 1 species
AGAGUGUGAUCCUGGCUCAGAGCGAACGCUGGCGGCAGGCUUAAUACAUGCAAGUCGAGCGCCUGUAGCAAUACAGGAGCGGCAGACGGGUGAGUAACGCGUGGGAACGUACCCUUUGGUUCGGAACAACACAGGGAAAACUUGUGCUAAUACCGGAUAAGCCCUUACGGGGAAAGAUUUAUCGCCGAAGGAUCGGCCCGCGGUCUGAUUAGCUAGUUGGUGAGGUAACGGCUCACCAAGGCGACGAUCAGUAGCUGGUCUGAGAGGAUGAUCAGCCACACUGGGACUGAGACACGGCCCAGACUCCUACGGGAGGCAGCAGUAGGGAAUAUUGGACAAUGGGGGCAACCCUGAUCCAGCCAUGCCGCGUGAGUGAUGAAGGCCUUAGGGUUGUAAAGCUCUUUUGUGCGGGAAGAUAAUGACGGUACCGCAAGAAUA